GACAGAGGUGCCGAGCGUUAGGCGGAAUCACUGGGCUUAAAGCGUGUGUAGGCGGGUCGUUAAGUGUCUUGUGAAAUCCCACCGCUCACCGGUGGAACGGCUGGGCAUACUGGCGACCUUGAGAGGCCUAGGGGCAGACGGAACAAGCGGUGGAGCGGUGAAAUGCGUAGAUAUCGUCUGGAACGCCGAAGGUGAAAACAGCUCGCUGGGGCUGCGCUGACGCUGAGACACGAAAGCCAGGGGAGCGAACGGG
rnacentral:rRNA from 1 species